UUGAAAUCUCUCUCUCUCUCUCUCUCUCUCUCUCUCUCUCUACUGUAGCGAUCUAUUUAAAAAUUAAAUGAAUAUUCUAAAAAAAAUCAAUUCAAACAACAAUAUGAGUAGAGAGAGAGAGAGAGAGAGAGAGAGAGAGAGAGAGAGAG
rnacentral:misc_RNA from 12 species